AUCAGGUAAACUACAUAUUCAUUUUGAUGGCCUACCUAUUUCCUAUGAAAUGUCAUAAACAAUUUCAGGUAAACUACAUAUUCAUUUUGAUGGCCUACCUAUUUCCUAUGAAAUGUCAUAAACAAUUUAGCCAUGCCAUGCCUUGCCAAAAUAUAGUCUCCUUGUUUCUAGCAUCACACACGUCAAUUUAUAGAUAAAUUGGUAACUGCGACAACACCUUGGCUCACCGGCAGAUGGCGUUCGAGUUUGGACACUGGGUUCAUACAUGUGACUCUUUAUUUUUAACCGUUAGAUCGCCGAAACGAAUUUUGGAGCGAGUGAUAUCGUGUGUGUAGCUGCAAUUUUAGGUUAUAGUAUUGUGCUUGGAAGGAAAGCGUCUAAGGUAGGAGAUGUAUUUCUCUAGAUUGGUUGAAAUGAUCUUAGGUUGUUUUAGCCAAAAAUUGCCAAAGGGGGAGAUUGUUGGUGUUUUAUGUUGGCCGCAUUUUGCUAAAACAAAUAUUCAAGCCAGAUGUGGAGCAGAAUGCUUCACCAUCAAGUUCAAGCAAGAUGUUGCAUGGAAUGCUUCAACAUUGGAUACCACAUCCAUGGGCCGGGCCUGAUGUUUUUUUUUUUAAUCUCGCGUGGAGUUCUAUUUACGAAAAUCUCGCCUUUUUACUUGUACACCAAGCAACACGCCUUUCCUAAUGUUCUAGAAGGCGGCCAUGACCUAGUUUUGUUUCAGAAUGCAUCAACUAUUUAUGGAAACAAAACAUUUAAUUCAAGAAUAUUCCUUGAAGUAACUUCUGGACCAGCUGCGUUUUUUGAAGCCCAAUUCAAGACCUAGCUCGUGCUAGCUCAGGCUAUAUAAAGGAAGACUGAACCAUUGUGCAAAUCACUGAAGCCGAAAUUGAGUUUUACAAAGCGUGUGUUUAGGGUUUUAGUAUUGUCAAUUGUGUUCCUCUUCUUGUAUUACCUUGAUNN
rnacentral:lncRNA from 1 species